UACAAUAUAUGCCUCAGCUACUAUUUUGGAUCCUAGGUACAAGGCAAGAGUUUUUAAAAAUUCAUGUGCUGUUGGAAAUGUUAAAGAGAGAUUGAAGGAAGAAAUAGAGUUGGUUGCCUCUACUACCACAUCAUGCAUAAAUGAAAUUCAAACGGACCCUGGACCAUCUACUUCAAAAAAAAAAUAUAUGGAAUGUUUGUCAACAGAUAAUAUCAGACACGGAGUUUGUGGAACCUCUUUCAAACUUUUCAUGAAAUCAAAACUAUAUGGCCGAAAUUAAUGCUUAUUUAAAUGCACCCAAUGCAGAGAUGGAUACAAGCUAUUCAAGUUAUUGGAGAAAAAAUACUAUAUUUCCUCAUUUGAAAAAAUUGGCCCAUAAGUAUUUGUCCAUCAAACCAGCAACAGUGGAUUCAGAAAGAUUGUUUUCCACAGCCAGUUUAAUCCAUACGGAUAGGUAUAAGAAACAGACUCAAAACAGAUAAUUUAAAAAAAUUAUGUUUUCUUAACAAGAAUGGUAAAUUGUCCUUAAAACUUAAGUAAAUGUUGAUUUUACUGAA